rnacentral:rRNA from 1 species
AUACGGAGGGUGCGAGCGUUAAUCGGAAUUACUGGGCGUAAAGCGCGCGUAUGCGGGCUGGUUAGUUGGGGGUGAAAUCCCGAGGCUCAACCUCGGAACUGCCCUCAAUACUGCCAGUCUUGAGUUCGAGAGAGGUGAGUGGAAUUCCUAGUGUAGAGGUGAAAUUCGUAGAUAUUAGGAAGAACACCAGUGGCGAAGGCGGCUCACUGGCUCGAUACUGACGCUGAGGCGCGAAAGCGUGGGGAGCAAACAGGAUUAGAUACCCGUGUAGUCC